UACAGAGGGUGCGAGCGUUAAUCGGAUUUACUGGGCGUAAAGCGUGCGUAGGCGGCUUUAAGUCGGAUGUGAAAUCCCUGAGCUUAACUUAGGAAUUGCAUUCGAUACUGGGAAGCUAGAGUAUGGGAGAGGAUGGUAGAAUUCCAGGUGUAGCGGUGAAAUGCGUAGAGAUCUGGAGGAAUACCGAUGGCGAAGGCAGCCAUCUGGCCUAAUACUGACGCUGAGGACGAAAGCUAGGGUAGCGAAAGGG
rnacentral:rRNA from 1 species